UACGAAGGGGGCAAGCGUUGUUCGGAAUUACUGGGCGUAAAGGGCGCGUAGGCGGCUUAUCAAGUCAGGCGUGAAAUUCCCGGGCUCAACCUGGGGGCUGCGCUUGAUACUGAUUGGCUUGAAUGCGGGAGAGGAUAGUGGAAUUCCCAGUGUAGAGGUGAAAUUCGUAGAUAUUGGGAAGAACACCAGUGGCGAAGGCGGCCGACUGGGCCGAUCCUGACGCUGAGACCCGAAAGCCAGGGUAGCGAACCGG
rnacentral:rRNA from 1 species